AUAGAAUAUCAUAUCGAUGGCCACAACGUUAUCUUCUCCCCUCUCCCGAGCUGGGCGAUGGCGCCAUGCCCCAACCACAGCUGCGCAGAUCAGAGGCACCCAAGUCCCCCCUCCAAGCAUGAGACUAUGAUCCAAAACGUGCUACGUGGUGUGGAGGUCACGGCGAACUUGUGAAUGGUGGGUUUAGCGUUGGAGAGUAGCUGGGAUUCGGGCAGGGCUCACGGUGUUAUGCAGCACCGUCGGCGGCGCCCUGGCUCCGGCCACAAAUUGCUAGCCCCAGGCGCACUACUAUCUACCACACUCGAUGCUAAAUCACGCGGAGGUGAAGGUAAAGGCUGUGAGGGGAUUCUCACCGGAGGAUAGCAGUGCGGUGACCCAGACCCCCGUGACGGUGCGCUCCGCCCAAAAUCCAACUUCCGACGAGUCUUCACGGUCACAGUCGCCACUUCUUUCCUCCAUGAGAAUCCUCCGCACACCAUGGUGAAGCAUCCCGGGAGGUCUGUGACGAUGGGGAGCCGCCACAGGA
rnacentral:lncRNA from 7 species